rnacentral:misc_RNA from 1 species
AAAAAAAAAAAGAGAAAGAAAAAACAUACAAUGAGGCUUAAAAUUUACUGGUAAGUAAAGAAUACACUCAACCAACAUAGUCUGAACACUCCUUGUACACUACACCCAGCGAGUCAAAUCCUAGUAAAUCCUACUAUGAUUAAUCAAGCUCAAGUUUUGAAGUCCUCGAAACACGCAAAAAAAAUUUUUAAAUUUCCAACUUAUUUGAUCUGGCAUUUGUCCAUAUAUCAUGAAUCUGCAUUAUAGCCAGACAAACCCACAACUCGCUGGUCGAAACAGACAAAAAAAGAAUUUUACCUAGCUCAAGAAAUCAAAUAUAGCAGGUGGGCGCACAUAAUAUCACUUACUCAAAAUGCCGGUUGAGAAAAAACCCUAACGCAUUUUAAAAUUCCCAUAUUUUGCCAACCAUUUCUGAGAAAUCAAACAGACUUUUUAAAACAAUCAACAAACACAGAAACAAUGAAAUUUGACACGAUCAAUAAGAGAUUACGCAGUGGAAAUUGAGCUACUUUGAUUGAAUUAGUUCUUCACGAAUAAGGGGGUUAAAAUAAGCAAAAUUAAGAGUCACAAUCAUCAUUAACUUAAUGAUCAACGGCGAAACAUGUAGUAGUAGAGUAGUACUUCUUGAAAGGCACUGUAACGAAUUAAAUCUUGCAGAGAAACAGAGAGAUUGUGAAAUCGUACCUCAAUUGAUUUCUUUUUCCUUCUGUAAGAUAUUGAUCGACAGGAGUUGGUGAUCGAGACGAUGAGGGAGGGAGGGAGGGAGGGAGG